GACUAUAUUCUAACUCGUAACGAUUACUCUCCGACUAUAUUCUAACUCGUAACGAUUACUCUCUUUUGAAUUGUGUCGCUACGCUUUUUAUAAUAACAUCCCCAAUGGGAUGACAGUCACGUGACAGUUCAUUCCGGCGGGAAUCGCAAUGCUGCAGGUUUUUAGAGUUUCCAUGAGAGAACGUGGAUUUUGAUGAUUACAGGUUAUGUUGAGUCAUGGACACAAAAGCGUCCGCGCCUGUGCGAACUGUCGCAAGAGGCGGAAGAUAUGUGAAUGGUACGAGAUGACGUGAUCGAUGUGCGUGUGUGAAUAUGUGCAAAGGAUGAUGCUGAAGGGGCGGUUUUCCAUCCAAAUAGGCACAGUGGUUAUUAGUUGUGUAACUCCAGUUUCUGAUCUAUGGAAAGUGGUGAAACGUCUUCACGAAAUACAAUUUCAUUCGUUUUCCUCCCUUGCAUUGGCACGCUGUGAGCGGUGUCGACUUCCAAAUGAGUGCAAGAAGAAGAAGAAUUGUAAAGAAUCCGUAAGUGGCCCUAGAAGACGCAGUCAUCGUGUGAGGUGUUGUCGGCAGGAACGAAGAGUCGAAGUUGUUGAAGAAGUCGUGUGACAUUUGUAUUGUUUCUGGUUAUAUACAACGCUAUUUCACAUAUCUAUGUAUAUAUAUAUAUAUUAUUAUUAUAUUAUUAUAUAUUAUUAUAUUAAAUCUUCAGUUGGUUUAGUUGAAUGUUCAGUAAUGUAAUUUUCACAAGGUGGUUUUGUAUAUUAGAUGAGUAGUUGUUCGAUAUAAUAAUAUGUGUAUAUAUAUAUAUACAUUUCACAAUGUAAUUUUCCAUUAUGUAAAAUAUAUAUAUGCAUAUGUAUAUGUGCGUGUAUUGUUAUUCUCAUUGUUUCUCGGAUCGUUAAUUGGUUGAAUAUUCCAUAAUGUGGAUUUCGUAUAUAAUUCUCUGGGUUCGUAGAAAUGUAAUUCUAUAUAUUUAUUUCUUUGCGUUUUAAUGGUUUAAUAACGUAUACAUACAUAUAUAUAUAUAUUAUGAAUUUUUCCCAAAGAUACGCGUACGCAUGUGUAUAUCUAUAUAUGUGUGUGUCGCAGAGCAAUCUUGUAUACAAUUUUCACUUUUAUUAGAAUGCUGAUGUAGUGUAGUAUAUUUUAUUUCUUUUAUAUUUUAUUAGAUUACCAAUUAUUCAGAUUCACGAAGUAGGUCACACACACAGAUAUGCAUACACGUGUGUGUAUAUACAUGUGUUUUCGCAGAGAAAUCUCAUACAUUUGAAUCGCGGCUUGUUUUAUUUAUUGGUUCAUUUAAUUAUUUCAUUUUAUUUGUAUUUUCUAUGCCAUUGCUGAUUGGUUGUAGUGUUUCUUCUU
rnacentral:misc_RNA from 1 species